rnacentral:lncRNA from 1 species
GAGCUUUUUGCCCAGGUGUUUCCAGCAAGGCCCCAGGGGGGCCCCAGGGGCAACACCUGGGGGCACUGUGCAGGGAGGGCAUUUAUCGAGCAGCUCAGGCCUUCCUUAGCUUUUUGUGUGGCAGUUGCGGGGCUGUCUGCUGCCUGAUGUCCCACUUGGGCUCAAGCUUUUGGCUGUUUUUGUUUUGUGGUUACAUUUCCCCAUGGCUGUAGGGGCAGCCUGGCUUUUGGAUCUGCUCAGCUUUGCCUCCCUCGACCUCCCAGCUGCGUGGAUAAGCCCAACAAAAAGAACUAUCCGGAGGGAAGGAGUAUUUUCGUACAAUGAGCCUGUUAUGCUAUCUGAAUGAGGAUUCAAUGAUCCGGUUAUUCGGGCCGCGUUUUCUGCUGCUGUAACAGUCACUGAGGGAAGAACAUUGCUGUGAUAUUUCACUGCCUCUUCUAGCUUCAUCCUCUGCUUGGACUGGAUUUUCGGAUGAGCUCGGUGUCCGGUCGGGGUAAGCUGCCCGUCGAACUCAGCACGCCAGCCAGGAGACUUCACGAAUUCCCUUCGUCCCUCUCCCUUUCCUACAUCCAAGGCCAGCAAUUUCAAAAGACAAUAAACAAACCACAGGCUCUGCAGUCUGUAAGUGAGCACCAAACUGUUCCUUCCCCGGGCUGAUUUGCUUUUCUGCAGAAUCUUCCCCUUCUGCCCAUCUGUCUGCUCGUGCCAUUUGGCUGCAGACGAGCUCUUUGCUGUGCUAGCAAUGUGCUGGGGAUAACAACGCCCGAGCUCUGAUUUAGGACGUUGGGAAGUGACCAGGGUAUCUUCGUGGUGAUAUAUACGCAAACUUUUGAUGAAGGACGAACUAAAACUGCCACCGAGUGUACUGGGCGAUACGUUCUCAUUGAUUCAACACGCUUCUGUCUGACAGCCUGUCUUACGGCUUCCACCGUUAACCUUUGUGGCAUGCAGCACGUUUGUGCUCUGUACAGUGCCUUUUUCCAAUUUUCCAAGGCCCAUUACGUUCUGCUCAGUGCAUAUAGUUACACUGAGAGCAAUGCUGAAAACAAGAGAGAUGCACACACUGUAUGCUCUGUAAAAAUAUUUACCUUCUGCUUCUUG